CCUACGGGCGGCAGCAGUGAGGAAUAUUGGUCAAUGGGCGCGAGCCUGAACCAGCCAAGUCGCGUGAAGGAUGACUGCCCUACGGGUUGUAAACUUCUUUUAUAAAGGAAUAAAGUGAGGCACGUGUGCCUUUUUGUAUGUACUUUAUGAAUAAGGAUCGGCUAACUCCGGGCCAGCAGCCGCGGUAAGACGGAGGAUUCGAGCGUUAUCCGGAUUUAUUGGGUUUAAAGGGAGCGUAGAUGGGUUGUUAAGUCAGUUGUGAAAGUUUGGGGCUCAACCGUAAAAUUGCAAUUGAUACUGGCAGGCUUGAGUACAGUAGAGGUAGGCGGAAUUCGUGGUGUAGCGGUGAAAUGCUUAGAUAUCACGAAGAACUCCGAUUGCGAAGGCAGCUUACUAAACUGCCACUGACAUUGAUGCGCGAAAGUGUGGGUAUCAAACAGGAUUAGAUACCCCAGUAGUC
rnacentral:rRNA from 1 species